rnacentral:rRNA from 1 species
GACGAACGCUGGCGGCGUGCCUAAUACAUGCAAGUAGAACGCUGAAGGAGUAGCUUGCUUCUCUGGAUGAGUUGCGAACGGGUGAGUAACGCGUAUGUAACCUGCCUUGUAUCUUGGGAUAACUUUUGGAAACGAUAGCUAAUACCGCAUAACAUUAGAUGUUCCAUUACAUUUACUUAAAAUUUGCAAUUUCAUCACUUCCAUAUGGACCUGCGUUGUAUUAGCUAUUUGGUGGGGUAACGGCUCACCAAGGCAACGAUACAUAUCCGAGCUGAGAGGGGGGUCGGCCAACAUGGGAAUGGGACAAGGCCCAGAAGCCUAAGGGGAGCAGCAGGAGGGAAUCAUCGGAAAUGGACGGAAGUCUGACCGAACAAAGACGCGGGAGUGAAGAAGGUUUUCGGAUCGUAAAGCUCUGUUGUAAGGGAAGAAAGAGUGUGGGAGUGGAAAGUUCACACUGUGACGGUAUCUUAACAGAAAGGAACGGCUAACUACGUG